AUUGAACGCUGGCGGCAGGCCUAACACAUGCAAGUCGAGCGGAUGAAGGGAGCUUGCUCCUGGAUUCAGCGGCGGACGGGUGAGUAAUGCCUAGGAAUCUGCCUGGUAGUGGGGGAUAACGUCCGGAAACGGGCGCUAAUACCGCAUACGUCCUGAGGGAGAAAUUGGGGGAUCUUCGGACCUCACGCUAUCAUAUGAGCCUAGGUCGGAUUAGCUAGUUGGUGGGGUAAAGGCCUACCAAGGCGACGAUCCGUAACUGGUCUGAGAGGAUGAUCAGUCACACUGGAACUGAGACAGGGUCCAGACUCCUACGGGAGGAAGCAGUGGGGAAUAUUGGACAAUGGGCGAAAGCCUGAUCCAGCCAUGCCGCGUGUGUGAAGAAGGUCUUCGGAUUGUAAAGCACUUUAAGUUGGGAGGAAGGGCAGUAAGUUAAUACCUUGCUGUUUUGACGUUACCAACAGAAUAAGCACCGGCUAACUUCGUG
rnacentral:rRNA from 1 species